CUCUUCAGAGUAAUCUACCAUAAAAUACGCUGGAUUCCACUCGUUGUUCCAACCUCUUAUAACUUGAAGAGCCUCCGCAAUAGCGUACGAUGUUUCACUUUGCAGGACAAAAGAACCAACGACUUGAUAGCUUACAUUGGUUUUUACCACAAGAAAAAACAAAGCGAGGCUGUAUUUUGUCGUUUUGUAAGUGGCAUCUAGAAGGUAAUCAAAGACUCUGCUGAAUAUUUAGCAAGCGGGCGAAAGAAGAAAGACUCGUCGGGACACCUCAGUUUCCAGUCUUCGAUUUUCUUUUGAAGAUUUUCUUGGUCAAAUUUUGAAAAUCUUUCUUUGAUGACUGCCUUGUAAAUGUGGCUGCGUAUAGUUUGUUUGGAAGGAUAAAAUCUCCGAUUGGUUUUAGCGGGUGCCUUUGUUGCUUUGUACAGGUCUUGCUCCACGUAGAUUUUAAGAUGCCUCCUAACUUCUUUAACUGAGCAAGCCCCAGCAACAACCAAUUCUUGGAUCUUGGAGACAAGCAUCUUAUCAAUUCCUUGAUGAAGACCUCCAGCCUACAUAUAAAGGAGCCGAUUAUAAAACGGUGAGUUUUGUGCUCAGAUAGGCAAGGCAACUGGAUAUGGAUCCACCUUUCUCC